AGAUGGAACGUAUACAAGAGGAACCAGAACCUCUGCAGAUGGAACGGAUACAAGAGGUACCAGAACCUCUGCAGAUGGCACGGAUACAAGAGGUUCCAGAACCUCUGCAGAUGGAACGUAUACAAGAGGUUCCAGAACCUCUGCAGAUGGAACGGAUACAAGAGGAACCA